rnacentral:lncRNA from 1 species
GCAGGUUGGGCUGCGGCGGCGGCGGCAGCUGUGGAAGCUCAGGCGCUGCGCGUGAGAGGUCCCAGAUACGUCUGCGGUUCCGGCUCCGCCACCCUCAGCUUCUCUUCCCCAGGUCUGGGAGCCGAGUGCGGAAGGAGGGAACGGCCCUAGCUUUGGGAAGCCAGAGGACACCCCUGGCUCCUGCCGACACCGCCCUCCUUCCCUUCCCAGCCGCGGGCCUCGCUCGGUGCUAGGCUACUCUGCCGGGAGGCGGCGGCGGCUGCCAGUCUGUGGAGAGUCCUGCUGCCCUCCAGCCGGGCUCCUCCACCGGGCCUUGCAGGGGCCGAGAGAGCUCGGUGCCCGCCCUUCCGCUCGCCUUUUUCGUCAGCUGGCUGGAGCAGCAUCGGUCCGGGAGGUCUCUAGGCUGAGGCGGCGGCCGCUCCUCUAGUUCCACAAUGUCCACGGGCGGAGACUUCGGGAAUCCGCUGAGGAAAUUCAAGCUGGUGUUCCUGGGGGAGCAAAGCGUUGGAAAGACAUCUUUGAUCACCAGAUUCAUGUAUGACAGUUUUGACAACACCUAUCAGGCAACAAUUGGCAUUGACUUUUUAUCAAAAACUAUGUACUUGGAGGAUCGAACAGUGAGUAAUAUUUUCAGUGUGCAAUUUUCUGCAACAUUCCAGGUUAGAAAACUGCAAUCAAAGUUAUCAAUGAUUGUCACCAUAAGAAGUACUUAGCAAAGUUACCAAAGAUAGUUUACAGUUGUUGAGAAAAACUCUUAUUACCGAGUGAGUAGUACUUGGCAGUCAUCUUGAUUUGGAAAAAUGAAAACAAAGAGCUUUACAGAGAAUUAAAGGAGAAUUUUUAUGAAGAAAUUAAACCUGCUAAAGACCUUCUAAAUGCCACCCUUGAGGCAUUCAAAAAGAUUUCAAUUUGUGAACUUCAAGAUUUUUUUUGUCAGGAUAGGAUGCGUAUCAAAGUGACUGACAAAAAAGAAGUUAUGUGGGCAGGGUGCGGUGGCUCACACCUGUAAUCCCAGCACUUUGGGAGGCUGAGGCAGGUGGAUCAUCUGAGGUCAGGAGUUUGAGACCAGCUUGGCCAACAUGAUGAAAC